GGGAGGCAGCAGUGGGGAAUAUUGCACAAUGGGCGAAAGCCUGAUGCAGCGACGCCGCGUGGGGGAUGACGGCCUUCGGGUUGUAAACCUCUUUCAGUAGGGAAGAAGCGAAAGUGACGGUACCUGCAGAAGAAGCGCCGGCUAACUACGUGCCAGCAGCCGCGGUAAUACGUAGGGCGCAAGCGUUGUCCGGAAUUAUUGGGCGUAAAGAGCUUGUAGGUGGCUUGUCGCGUCUGCCGUGAAAACCCGAGGCUCAACCUCGGGCGUGCGGUGGGUACGGGCAGGCUAGAGUGUGGUAGGGGAGACUGGAACUCCUGGUGUAGCGGUGAAAUGCGCAGAUAUCAGGAAGAACACCGAUGGCGAAGGCAGGUCUCUGGGCCAUUACUGACACUGAGAAGCGAAAGCAUGGGGAGCGAACAGGAUUAGAUACCCUGGUAGUCCAUGCCGUAAACGUUGGGCACUAGGUGUGGGGAACAUUCCACGUUUUCCGCGCCGUAGCUAACGCAUUAAGUGCCCCGCCUGGGGAGUACGGCCGCAAGGCUAAAACUCAAAGGAAUUGACGGGGGCCCGCACAAGCGGCGGAGCAUGCGGAUUAAUUCGAUGCAACGCGAAGAACCUUACCAAGGCUUGACAUGCACCGGACGACCUCAGAGAUGGGGUUUUCUUUGGACUGGUGCACAGGUGGUGCAUGGUUGUCGUCAGCUCGUGUCGUGAGAUGUUGGGUUAAGUCCCGCAACGAGCGCAACCCUCGUUCCAUGUUGCCAGCGCGUAAUGGCGGGGACUCAUGGGAGACUGCCGGGGUCAACUCGGAGGAAGGUGGGGACGACGUCAAAUCAUCAUGCCCCUUAUGUCUUGGGCUUCACGCAUGCUACAAUGGCCGGUACAAUGGGUUGCGAAACUGUGAGGUGGAGCGAAUCCCAAAAAGCCGGUCUCAGUUCGGAUUGGGGUCUGCAACUCGACCCCAUGAAGUCGGAGUCGCUAGUAAUCGCAGAUCAGCAACGCUGCG
rnacentral:rRNA from 1 species